rnacentral:rRNA from 1 species
AGUGAACGCUGGCGGUAGGCCUAACACAUGCAAGUCGAACGGCAGCACAGUAAGAGCUUGCUCUUACGGGUGGCGAGUGGCGGACGGGUGAGGAAUACAUCGGAAUCUACUUUUUCGUGGGGGAUAACGUAGGGAAACUUACGCUAAUACCGCAUACGACCUACGGGUGAAAGCAGGGGAUCUUCGGACCUUGCGCGAUUGAAUGAGCCGAUGUCGGAUUAGCUAGUUGGCGGGGUAAAGGCCCACCAAGGCGACGAUCCGUAGCUGGUCUGAGAGGAUGAUCAGCCACACUGGAACUGAGACACGGUCCAGACUCCUACGGGAGGCAGCAGUCGGGAAUAUUGGACAAUGGGCGCAAGCCUGAUCCAGCCAUACCGCGUGGGUGAAGAAGGCCUUCGGGUUGUAAAGCCCUUUUGUUGGGAAAGAAAAGCAGCAGGUUAAUACCCCGCUGUUCUGACGGUACCCAAAGAAUAAGCACCGGCUAACUUCGUG